rnacentral:rRNA from 1 species
UAGCUAGUUGGUGAGGUAAAGGCUUACCAAGGCGACGAUCUGUAGCGGGUCUGAGAGGAUGAUCCGCCACACUGGAACUGAGACACGGUCCAGACUCCUACGGGAGGCAGCAGUGGGGAAUUUUGGACAAUGGGGGCAACCCUGAUCCAGCCAUGCCGCGUGAGUGAAGAAGGCCUUCGUGUUGUAAAGCUCUUUCGGCCGGGAAGAAAUCGCAUGGGCCAAUACCCUGUGUGGAUGACGGUACCGGAAUAAGAAGCACCGGCUAACUACGUGCCAGCAGCCGCGGUAAUACGUAGGGUGCGAGCGUUAAUCGGAAUUACUGGGCGUAAAGCGUGCGCAGGCGGUUUUGUAAGACAGGCGUGAAAUCCCCGGGCUUAACCUGGGAACUGCGUUUGUGACUGCAAGGCUAGAGUACGGCAGAGGGGGGUGGAAUUCCACGUGUAGCAGUGAAAUGCGUAGAGAUGUGGAGGAACACCAAUGGCGAAGGCAGCCCCCUGGGUCGAUACUGACGCUCAUGCACGAAAGCGUGGGUAGCAAACAGGAUUAGAUACCCUGGUAGUCCACGCCCUAAACUAUGUCAACUAGGUGUUGGGUGGGUAAAACCAUUUAGUACCGUAGCUAACGCGUGAAGUUGACCGCCUGGGGAGUACGGCCGCAAGGUUAAAACUCAAAGGAAUUGACGGGGACCCGCACAAGCGGUGGAUGAUGUGGAUUAAUUCGAUGCAACGCGAAAAACCUUACCUACCCUUGACAUGCCAGGAACUUGCCAGAGAUGGCUUGGUGCCCGAAAGGGAGCCUGGACACAGGUGCUGCAUGGCUGUCGUCAGCUCGUGUCGUGAGAUGUUGGGUUAAGUCCCGCAACGAGCGCAACCCUUGUCGUUAAUUGCCAUCAUUUAGUUGGGCACUUUAACGAGACUGCCGGUGACAAACCGGAGGAAGGUGGGGAUGACGUCAAGUCCUCAUGGCCCUUAUGGGUAGGGCUUCACACGUCAUACAAUGGUCGGUACAAAGGGUUGCCAAGCCGCGAGGCGGAGCCAAUCCCAGAAAGCCGAUCGUAGUCCGGAUUGCAGGCUGCAACUCGCCUGCAUGAAGUCGGAAUCGCUAGUAAUCGUGGAUCAGCAUGUCACGGUGAAUACGUUCCCGGGUCUUGUACACACCGCCCGUCACACCAUGGGAGCGGGUUCCGCCAGAAGUAGGUAGCCUAACCGCAAGGGGGGCGCUUACCACGGCGGGGUUCGUGACUGGGGUGAAGUCGUAACAAGGUAGCCGUAGGGGAACCUGCGGCUG